rnacentral:rRNA from 1 species
UACGGAGGAUUCGAGCGUUAUCCGGAUUUACUGGGUUUAAAGGGUGCGUAGGUGGAAUGUCAAGUCAGUGGUGAAAACCUGCAGCUUAACUGUAGAACUGCCAUUGAUACUGUCAUACUUGAGUGUAUUUGAUGUAAGUGGAAUGUGUCGUGUAGCGGUGAAAUGCUUAGAUAUGACACAGAACACCCAUUGCGAAGGCAGCUUACAAAACUACAACUGACACUGAGGCACGAAAGCGUGGGGAUCAAACAGG